CGGAGUUCUCCUCGGAAUCUAUUCAGCCAGGCCGGGAGUGGCAGUCAGCACUUAGCAAACGGCGAAAUCCCCAAGGUGCAGAAAGAGUGAGUGGCAGCGGGCCCUGAGGCCAAGCGGCGGCAGCGGGAGGAACGCUGAAGAUCAAACCCACGCAGCUCCAUGACCCGCUGAGGAAGUUGAGGUGGCAGUAAAAGAAGUUGAAAUUGGUAAAAGUGCUCCAAGUGU